AUCCUACGGGAGGCAGCAGUAGGGGAUUUUCGUCAAUGGGCGCAAGCCUGAACGAGCAAUGCCGCGUGAACGAGGAAGGUCUUCGGAUCGUAAAGUUCUGUUGAAGGGGAAAAAGAGCGGAGAGAGGAAAUGCUUUCUGAUUGAUAUUACCCUUCGAGGAAGUCAUGGCUAACUACGUGCCAGCAGCCGCGGUAAUACGUAGGUGGCGAGCGUUAUCCGGAAUGAUUGGGCGUAAAGGGUGCGUAGGCGGCCUGCUAAGUCUGGAGUGAAAGGUACCGGCUCAACCGGUACAGGCUCUGGAAACU
rnacentral:rRNA from 1 species